GGAACGCUGGCGGCGUGCUUAAUACAUGCAAGUAGAACGCACAGAUGCACCGUAGUUUAUACACCGUAUUCUGUGAGUUGGAACGGGUGAGUAACGCGUAGGUAACCUGCCUGGUAGCGGGGGAUAACUAUUGGAACGAUAGCUAAUCCGCAUAAGAACAUUUACUGCAUGUAGAUGUUUAAAAGGUGCAAAUGCAUCUACCAGAUGGACUGCGUUGUAUUAGCUAGUAGGUGAGGUAACGGCUCACCUAGGCGACGAUACAUAGCCGACCUGAGAGGGUGAUCGGCCACACUGGGACUGAGACACGGCCCAGACUCCUACGGGAGGCAGCAGUAGGGAAUCUUCGGCAAUGGGGGGAACCCUGACCGAGCAACGCCGCGGAGUGAAGAAGGUUUUCGGAUCGUAAAGCUCUGUUGUUAAGGAAGAACGAGUGUGAGAAUGGAAAGUUCAUACUGUGACGGUACUUAACCAGAAAGGACGGC
rnacentral:rRNA from 1 species